UAAAAAAAAAAAGAAAAAAUUUUUUCUGUAUAGCUUUAAUAAUCUAAAAUUAUUAAGAAUAUCAUUAUUGAUUUAAAUGGUGGGACUAUAAAACUAUGUUUUCACAGAACUGACCUGAAGUAACCCAAAGUUCUGUACUCUUAAAUCUGCAAAUGCAAAACUAUUACAAAAGACUGCUGAACAGUUCUGACAGUUACUUAGGCCUAUUCCUACAGAAAGUCUCUGCUUCCCAGUAAAACUGCUUAAACUUACAGUCUCUUCCUAUUCCAAAAAGUCAAUUCCAGCUGACAGAGGUGCAGAAAAGGGCUCUGACAAAGAGCAGGAAGAAAUUAUUGCUCUUGAAAGAUGUUCUCUUGAAAGCAUCACUGAGGACAUUUAAGAAACGACUGCCACCGUAUUUCCAGCCUUCUUGGAUGAUACAGCUCUUUCAGCAGAGCAAGUGGAAAGGAUAGUGUCAUUACCUACCUUUACACAAGUCAUCCUUUUAACUUAAAUUCCCAGAUUAUUUUUCUGGGAAAAUUAUGUCCUACCACCAACAUCCUCGGUUAAAUCAGUAUAUUAACUACUAUGCUUAUUUCUCUAAGAAGAUAUGUAGAAGAUUGCAGUAACAUAUAUAUUCACACAGCGAACAUUUUACAAAGGGUGUAUCAUUUUUGCAAAAAAAACUGCUGAGUUUUGAUAAGUUACUUGAUAUUCUUUCUAAAUCAGGAGGCCAAGGGAGAUGAAUUUCACU